rnacentral:rRNA from 1 species
AGUGAAAUAGAACCUGAAACCGUGUACGUACAAGCAGUAGGAGCACCUUCGUGGUGUGACUGCGUACCUUUUGUAUAAUGGGUCAGCGACUUAUAUUCAGUGGCAAGGUUAACCGUAUAGGGGAGCCGUAGCGAAAGCGAGUCUUAACUGGGCGCUCAGUCUCUGGAUAUAGACCCGAAACCGGGUGAUCUAGCCAUGGGCAGGUUGAAGGUUGAGUAACAUCAACUGGAGGACCGAACCGACUAAUGUUGAAAAAUUAGCGGAUGACUUGUGGCUAGGGGUGAAAGGCCAAUCAAACUCGGAGAUAGCUGGUUCUCCCCGAAAGCUAUUUAGGUAGCGCCUCGGACGAAUACUACUGGGGGUAGAGCACUGUUAAGGCUAGGGGGUCAUCCCGACUUACCAACCCUUUGCAAACUCCGAAUAC